UACGUAGGGUGCAAGCGUUGUCCGGAAUUAUUGGGCGUAAAGAGCUCGUAGGCGGUCUGUCGCGUCGGCUGUGAAAAACCCGGAGCUCAACUCCGGGCCUGCAGUCGAUACGGGCAAACUAGAGUACUGCAGGGGAGACUGGAAUUCCUGGUGUAGCGGUGAAAUGCGCAGAUAUCAGGAGGAACACCGGUGGCGAAGGCGGGUCUCUGGGCAGUAACUGACGCUGGAGGAGCGAAAGCCGUGGGGAGCGAACAGG
rnacentral:rRNA from 1 species